rnacentral:rRNA from 1 species
CAGUCGCCGCGGUAAUACGAAGGUCCCGAGCGUUGUUCGGAAUCACUGGGCGUAAAGGGAGCGUAGGCGGCGUGGUAAGUCAGAUGUGAAAUCCCGGGGCUCAACCCCGGAACUGCAUCCGAUACUGCCGUGCUAGAGGAUUGGAGAGGUAGCUGGAAUUCUUGGUGUAGCAGUGAAAUGCGUGGAGAUCAAGAGGAACACUCGUGGCGAAAGCGAGCUACUGGACAAUAUCUGACGCUGAGGCUCGAAGGCCAGGGUAGCGAAAGGGAUUAGAUACCCCGGUAGUCCCUGUCUCUUAUAC